rnacentral:rRNA from 1 species
GAUGAACGCUGGCGGCGUGCUUAAUACAUGCAAGUCGAGCGAACAGACGCGGAUCUUGCUCCUCUCACGUUUGCCGCGGACGGGUGAGUCACACGUGUAUCCCCUCCCUAUCAGUCUGGGAUAACUUCGUGACACCGGAUCUAAUACCGUAUAAUCUAUUGAUCCGCGUUGUUCAAUAGUUAAAGACGGUGUUGCUGUCUCUUAUAGAUGGUUCCCGGCCGCAUUAGCUAGUUGUUAAGGUCAACGCUUAUCAAGGCAACGAUGCGUAGCCGACCUGAGAGGGGGAUAGGCGACAUGGGAAGUGAGACAGGGUCCAGACUACUACGGGAGGCAGCAGUAGGGAACGGUGCGCAAUGGGCGAAAGCCUGACGGAGCAACGGCGAGUGAGUGAUGAAGGUCUUCGGAGCGUAAAACUGUGUUAUGAGGGAAGAACAAAUGUGGAAGUAAACAAGGAGGGAGUGACGGUAACGAAUAAGAAAGCAACGGCUAACUACGUG